AUGCACGCUGGCGGCAUGCCUUACACAUGCAAGUCGAACGGCAGCAUGACCUAGCUUGCUAGGUUGAUGGCGAGUGGCGAACGGGUGAGUAAUGCAUCGGAACGUGCCUUUUAGUGGGGGAUAACGUAGCGAAAGUUACGCUAAUACCGCAUAUUCUCUGAGGAGGAAAGCAGGGGACCUUCGGGCCUUGCGCUAGAAGAGCGGCCGAUGUCGGAUUAGCUAGUUGGUGAGGUAAAGGCUCACCAAGGCAACGAUCCGUAGCGGGUCUGAGAGGAUGAUCCGCCACACUGGGACUGAGACACGGCCCAGACUCCUACGGGAGGCAGCAGUGGGGAAUUUUGGACAAUGGGCGCAAGCCUGAUCCAGCCAUGCCGCGUGAGUGAAGAAGGCCUUCGGGUUGUAAAGCUCUUUCGGCUGGGAAGAAAUCGCACCCUCUAAUACAGGGUGUGGAUGACGGUACCAGCAUAAGAAGCACCGGCUAACUACGUG
rnacentral:rRNA from 1 species